CCUACGUGAGGCUGCAGUCGAGAAUCAUUCACAAUGGGGGAAACCCUGAUGGUGCGACGCCGCGUGGGGGAAUGAAGGUCUUCGGAUUGUAAACCCCUGUCAUGUGGGAGCAAAUUAAAAAGAUAGUACCACAAGAGGAAGAGACGGCUAAUUCUGUGCCAGCAGCCGCGGUAAUACAGAGGUCUCAAGCGUUGUUCGGAAUCACUGGGCGUAAAGCGUGCGUAGGCUGUGUCGUAAGUCGUGUGUGAAAGGCGCGGGCUCAACCCGCGGACGGCACAUGAUACUGCGAGACUAGAGUAAUGGAGGGGGAACCGGAAUUCUCGGUGUCGCCGU
rnacentral:rRNA from 1 species